CCUACGGGAGGCAGCAGUGAGGAAUAUUGGUCAAUGGGCGCGAGCCUGAAGCAGCCAAGUAGCGUGAAGGAUGACUGCCCUACGGGUUGUAAGCUUCUUUUAUAAAGGAAUAAAGUGAGGCACGUGUGCCUUUUUGUAUGUCCUUUAUGAAUAAAGCUCGGCUAACUCCGUGCCAGCAGCCGCGGUAAUACGGAGGAUCCGAGCGUUAUCCGGAUUUAUUGGGUUUAAAGGGAGCGUAGAUGGGUGGGUAAGUCAGUUGUGAAAGUUUGCGGCUUAACCGUAAAAUUGCAAUUGAUACUGGCAGCCUUGAGUACAGGUGAGGUAGGCGGAAUUCGUGGUGUAGCGGUGAAAUGCGUAGAUAUCACGAAGAACUCCGAUUGCGAAGGCAGCCUACUAAACUGCCACUGACAUUGAUGCUCGAAAGUGUGGGUAUCAAACAGGAUUAGAUACCCCAGUAGUC
rnacentral:rRNA from 1 species